GACGAACCGUGCGAACGUUAUUCGGAAUCACUGGGCUUAAAGGGCGCGUAGGCGGAUCGGCGCAUCGGCUGCUGAAAGCCCCCGGCUCAACCGGGGAACGGGCACCGAGAUGGCCGUAUCUGGAGGCGAGGAGGGGGACCCGGAACUGCCGGUGGAGCGGUGAAAUGCGUUGAGAUCGGCAGGAACACCGACGGCGAAAGCAGGGUCCUGGACUCGUCCUGACGCUGAGGCGCGAAAGCCAGGGGAGCGAACGGG
rnacentral:rRNA from 1 species